rnacentral:rRNA from 1 species
ACGGGAGGCAGCAGUGAGGAAUAUUGGUCAAUGGGCGAGAGCCUGAACCAGCCAAGUCGCGUGAGGGAAGACGGCCCUAUGGGUUGUAAACCUCUUUUGCCGGGGAAUAAAGUCAGGGAUGAGUCCCUGUUUGCAUGUACCCGGUGAAUAAGGAUCGGCUAACUCCGUGCCAGCAGCCGCGGUAAUACGGAGGAUCCGAGUGUUAUCCGGAUUUAUUGGGUUUAAAGGGUGCGUAGGCGGGAUGUCAAGUCAGUGGUGAAAUGGUGCGGCUCAACCGUAGCAUUGCCGUUGAAACUGGCGUUCUUGAGUGCGAAUGAGGUGGGCGGAAUGUGUCAUGUAGCGGUGAAAUGCAUAGAUAUGACACAGAACACCGAUUGCGAAGGCAGCUCACUGGGACGCAACUGACGCUGAGGCACGAAAGUGCGGGGAUCGAACAGGAUUAGAUACCCUGGUA